rnacentral:misc_RNA from 1 species
UUUCCGUAGGUGAACCUGCGGAAGGAUCAUUAAAAAAUUGGACUCCAUUGGUGAGUUCAUUAAUAAUCCUACCCUUUGUGAAUUUGUUUGUUUGAAUAAUUUUUUUUCCACAAAAAAUUAUUGAAUGUCUUUCCCUGUUUUGGUGGAGCUUGUAAAGUGAAACCAGGCAGGGGAAUGGCAAACAAUAAUUAUUUUUGAAAAAGACCUUUUUUAAAAUUAAACUUUUUGUAUUCAUUUGUCUAAAAUUAUUUUUAUAAUAUAAAAACAACUUUUGACAAUGGAUCUCUUGGUUCUCGCAACGAUGAAGAACGCAGCAAAAUGCGAUAAAUAGUGUGAAUUGCAGAAUACGUGAAUCAUCGAAUCUUCGAACGCAUAUUGCACUUUUUUAGUUUACUAAAAAAGUAUGUCUGUUUGAGUAUCAGUAAAAUAUUCUCAUAAAAAAUUUAUUUUUUAUGGUUAUGAGUGUUUUACAACGAUAACAAGUUGUUUCACUUUAAAUUCUUUGUUAUCAAAAAAAUCAUUAAAAGCUAAUUUUAAAGAUUUUUUAAAAUUGGAUAAAAUUUUCCCGUAAAAAGGAAUAACCUAAACAAUUUUAAAAAAUUAAAAUUGGUUUGAUUUUCUUGAUUUAAAAAGGAAAAAAAAGUAAAAAUUAACUUGAUCUCAAAUCAGAUAAGAGUACCCGCUGAACUUAAGCAUAUCAAUAAGCGGAGGAAAAGAAACUAACUAGGAUUCCCUCAGUAACGGCGAGUGAAGCGGGAAGAGCUCAAAUUUGAAAUCUUCAAGGUUUUACCUUGACGAAUUGUAGUUUAAAGAAGUGUUUUCUGUUGGAGUUUUGGUAAAAGUUCUUUGGAAAAGGACAUCAUAGAGGGUGAGAAUCCCGUAUUUGACCAUUAUCUCCAGCUUUGUGAUACACUUUCAAAGAGUCGGAUUGUUUGGGAAUGCAGUCCAAAAUGGGUGGUAAAUUUCAUCUAAAGCUAAAUACUGGCGAGAGACCGAUAGCGAACAAGUACCGUGAGGGAAAGAUGAAAAGAACUUUGAAAAGAGAGUUAAACAGUACGUGAAAUUGUCAAAAGGGAAGCGUUUGACACCAGUGUUGUUUUCUCGAAAAUCAAUUAAAAAAGGCCGGAUUUUGUGUUGUAUUGACUUUAUCAGCUUUCUGCACUUUUUUCUUGUCUUUUUUAAUGCACUUUUCGUUUAACAAGUCAACAUCAAUUUCCUUUGUUGUAAAAGGGUCAUUGGAAGGUGGCUUUCUUUUCGGAGAAAGUGUUUAUAGCCUUUGGCCUCUGCAAUCGGAGAGAUUGAGGUCUGCAGCGUAGAUCCUUCGGGGUUAGAUACAUUUGUGCUAAGUUAUAGCCUUUCAUAGACAACUUGUUGACUAUGAUCAGUCAUGUAGCUUACUCGCUUAUGCUAUUU